AAAUUGAAGAGUUUGAUCAUGGCUCAGAUUGAACGCUGGCGGCAGGCCUAACACAUGCAAGUCGAACGGUAACAGAAAGCAGCUUGCUGCUUUGCUGACGAGUGGCGGACGGGUGAGUAAUGUCUGGGAAACUGCCUGAUGGAGGGGGAUAACUACUGGAAACGGUAGCUAAUACCGCAUAAUGUCGCAAGACCAAAGAGGGGGACCUUCGGGCCUCUUGCCAUCGGAUGUGCCCAGAUGGGAUUAGCUAGUAGGUGGGGUAACGGCUCACCUAGGCGACGAUCCCUAGCUGGUCUGAGAGGAUGACCAGCCACACUGGAACUGAGACACGGUCCAGACUCCUACGGGAGGCAGCAGUGGGGAAUAUUGCACAAUGGGCGCAAGCCUGAUGCAGCCAUGCCGCGUGUAUGAAGAAGGCCUUCGGGUUGUAAAGUACUUUCAGCGGGGAGGAAGGGAGUAAAGUUAAUACCUUUGCUCAUUGACGUUACCCGCAGAAGAAGCACCGGCUAACUCCGUGCCAGCAGCCGCGGUAAUACGGAGGGUGCAAGCGUUAAUCGGAAUUACUGGGCGUAAAGCGCACGCAGGCGGUUUGUUAAGUCAGAUGUGAAAUCCCCGGGCUCAACCUGGGAACUGCAUCUGAUACUGGCAAGCUUGAGUCUCGUAGAGGGGGGUAGAAUUCCAGGUGUAGCGGUGAAAUGCGUAGAGAUCUGGAGGAAUACCGGUGGCGAAGGCGGCCCCCUGGACGAAGACUGACGCUCAGGUGCGAAAGCGUGGGGAGCAAACAGGAUUAGAUACCCUGGUAGUCCACGCCGUAAACGAUGUCGACUUGGAGGUUGUGCCCUUGAGGCGUGGCUUCCGGAGCUAACGCGUUAAGUCGACCGCCUGGGGAGUACGGCCGCAAGGUUAAAACUCAAAUGAAUUGACGGGGGCCCGCACAAGCGGUGGAGCAUGUGGUUUAAUUCGAUGCAACGCGAAGAACCUUACCUGGUCUUGACAUCCACGGAAGUUUUCAGAGAUGAGAAUGUGCCUUCGGGAACCGUGAGACAGGUGCUGCAUGGCUGUCGUCAGCUCGUGUUGUGAAAUGUUGGGUUAAGUCCCGCAACGAGCGCAACCCUUAUCCUUUGUUGCCAGCGGUCCGGCCGGGAACUCAAAGGAGACUGCCAGUGAUAAACUGGAGGAAGGUGGGGAUGACGUCAAGUCAUCAUGGCCCUUACGACCAGGGCUACACACGUGCUACAAUGGCGCAUACAAAGAGAAGCGACCUCGCGAGAGCAAGCGGACCUCAUAAAGUGCGUCGUAGUCCGGAUUGGAGUCUGCAACUCGACUCCAUGAAGUCGGAAUCGCUAGUAAUCGUGGAUCAGAAUGCCACGGUGAAUACGUUCCCGGGCCUUGUACACACCGCCCGUCACACCAUGGGAGUGGGUUGCAAAAGAAGUAGGUAGCUUAACCUUCGGGAGGGCGCUUACCACUUUGUGAUUCAUGACUGGGGUGAAGUCGUAACAAGGUAACCGUAGGGGAACCUGCGGUUGGAUCACCUCCUUA
rnacentral:rRNA from 1 species